rnacentral:rRNA from 1 species
AUACGUAGGUGGCAAGCGUUGUCCGGAAUUAUUGGGCGUAAAGCGCAUGUAGGCGGUUUGGUAAGUCGGUCGUGAAAAUGCGGUGCUUGACGCCGGAUGGCGGUCGAAACUGCUGAACUUGAGUGCAGGAGAGGAAAGGGGAACUCCCAGUGUAGCGGUGAAAUGCGUAGAUAUUGGGAAGAACACCGGUGGCGAAGGCGCCUUUCUGGACUGUGUCUGACGCUCAGAUGCGAAAGCCAGGGUAGCGAACGGGAUUAGAUACCCCGGUAGUCCUGGCCGUAAACGAUGGGUACUAGGUGUGGGAGGUAUCGACUCCUUCCGUGCCGGAGUUAACGCAAUAAGUACCCCGCCUGGGGAGUACGGCCGCAAGGUUUAAACUCAAAUGAAUUGACGGGG